UGAGGAAUGGGAUGUACCAAAAUGAUUAAUAUGUAUUUGUAUUUUGGGUAUUCAAUACUUGUAUGGAUAAAAGGGCUCUGUAAUCACCUGGAAGCUGCGGUGUGGAUUUGGGAGUCACCCCACACAAUAAACAUACCCUUUCUAACUUUAAACUGUUAGAGAGGUUUUGUCCAUCACAGAUGUACAUCGGAGGUUCCUGUGGGAGUAAUCCCUCAAAAAACCUCCUUGUGAUGGCACAUGGCCAGGCAGCAGCAUCGGUUUGGUGGAAACCAAAAGAUUUCCACCGAGGCUGGAAAAGCCCUCUCAGCCCUUCGAGUCCAAUCUGUGCCCAAUCCCCACCUUGUCCCCAGCCCGGAACACUCAGUGCCACAUCCAGCCCUUCCUUGGACACCUCCAGGGAUGGGGACUCAAACCUCCCUGGGCAGCCCCUUCCAAUGUCUAAUCACCCUUUCUUUGAAUCAAUUCCUCCUAAUGUCCAUCCUGAACCUCCCCUGGCUGCAGCUUAUGACUCUGUCCUCUGUUUCUUACCAGCACUCGGGAAAUAUUUCGCUGUGGAACAACUGAAGGAAUUGAUGGGAAUCCAGAAUCCAGCAGACUCUGGUAGACAAUGCCUCGGGCUUGGUGUUGGAUUGGGAAAUUCAUCCUGGACCAGCUGGAUCCACCCCUUCUCCCUCAGACCAUAAAGAAAAGCACCUGAGAUGUUCCAGCAGAGCAGUGCUAGAGAAAAUCCCUUUGUCCAGCAAGCAAACAACCAGGACUGGAGUCAGGACAAGUAAAAUGUAAUUACUUAUGGA